rnacentral:rRNA from 1 species
AUUGAACGCUGGCGGCAGGCCUAACACAUGCAAGUCGAACGAGUGGCGGACGGGUGUGUUAUGUCUGGGAAACUGCCUGAUGGAGGGGUAUAACCACUGAACACGGUAGCUUAUACCGCAUUCUAUCGGAUGCGCCCAGAUGGGAGUAGCUAGUGGGUGGGGAAAUGGCUCACAUAGGCGACGAUCCCUAGCUGGUCUGAGAGGAUGACCAGCCACACUGGAACUGAGACACGGUCCAGACGCCUACGGGAGGCAGCAGUGGGGAAUAUUGCACAAUGGGCGCAAGCCUGAUGCAGCCAUGCCGCGUGUAUGAAGAAGGCCUUCGGGUUGUAAAGUACUUUCAGCGGGGAGGCGUUACCCGCAGAAGAAGCACCGGCUAACUCCGUGCCAGCCGCCGCGGUAAUUC